rnacentral:rRNA from 1 species
ACGGAGGGUGCAAGCGUUGUUCGGAAUUACUGGGCGUAAAGCGCGCGCAGGCGGUUUGUUAAGUCAGAUGUGAAAGCCCAUGGCUCAACCAUGGACGUGCAUUUGAAACUGGCAAGCUUGAGUAGUGGAGGGGGUGGUGGAAUUCCCGGUGUAGAGGUGAAAUUCGUAGAUAUCGGGAGGAAUACCGGUGGCGAAGGCGACCACCUGGCCACAUACUGACGCUGAGGCGCGAAAGCGUGGGGAGCAAACAGGAUUAGAUACCCUGGUAGUCCACGCCGUAAACGAUGUCAACUAGGUGUUGGGACGGUUAAUCGUCUCAUUGCCGCAGCUAACGCAUUAAGUUGACCGCCUGGGGAGUACGGUCGCAAGAUUA